CAGAGGUCUCAAGCGUUGUUCGGAUUCAUUGGGCGUAAAGGGUGCGUAGGUGGCGAUGUAAGUCUGGUGUGAAAUCUCGGGGCUCAACCUCGAAAUUGCAUUGGAUACUGCGUUGCUUGAGGAUUGUAGAGGAGAGUGGAAUUCACGGUGUAGCAGUGAAAUGCGUAGAUAUCGUGAGGAAGACCAGUUGCGAAGGCGACUCUCUGGGCAAUUCCUGACACUGAGGCACGAAGGCCAGGGGAGCAAACGGGAUU
rnacentral:rRNA from 1 species